UUUAAUUUUAGCUAGCAAGAUUAUUUGGACUUAAAAGUCAAGUUAAUAAUCUUCUAACAAACAUUUUCUUCUGUCAUGUUUAAUUCAUAGUCACUAGGCAACACUGAAAUUUCCACUCAUUGCUUUUCAGUCAUCGACAGGAAAAGGAAUUACCGGUAAGUUGACAGGACUUUCCACACUGUUUCUGGUAGCAGCUUAUGAUUGAAUUGAUGGUAGAAGACGUGGCCCACUUAAUCAAAGAUAAUCUGUAUAGAGUGGCACCUUAACCACCACUGGUGAAAUAGAUGACUAGUGGAUGGUCAUCACUUUGCAGCUCACUUUCACUUUCUGCAGCCCAUCUCUUCUCAUCCACAAUCAUUGUCUUUGGAGGAAUGGUGACAGUGCAGUCCUCAUGGCUGGGCAGGUCUACUGCAUGUUGACAGCUGAUACUUGUUCUCUAUUUACUCCAAGAGGCCUACUACACAUUGUACCUCAGUUAUGACUGUACUCUUG